UCUACGAGCGCUGUAAGCCUUUGUAUUAAAAUUAGAUAUUUUAGGGAUGGGCUGCCGCAGAGGAAUGUGUGAAGUGUAGGAACCAGAGAAAUCACCCCUAUACUUCCAGGCAGACCUUUGUCAUCACUUUUUAACUCACGCAGGUGCCAGCCCCUGGUGUGCAGUGGGGGUGUCACCCUUGCAGGGGCUGUGACCCAGCUGUUACAUCGCUGCAGAGUCCUUUCUGAAAUGCCAAAUUCCACCCAUUUGAUGUCCAGCUCCUUUCCAGAACAUUUCACUUGAUAGUUAUAAGGAGCUACAUUCACAUGUCAUCUUGGAGUUCCUAAAGGAUUGAAAAUCUGGGCUACAUGUAAGAGGAACCCAAAAUCUCUUCAAGUUUUACAAAUACCCCCAGGCUGCCUUCUGUUGUUGAGGCUGUAAGUUAUGUCAUCAAUCAACAAGAACAAGCUGGAGACCAUGAAGUCAAUGAAUUUAGACCAUAACAUGACAGCAGCUUGUAGUACCUUCUGCUUGUGCUGCUCACCUGGGAGGAAUGAAGAACCUCCUCAGCUACUGUGGAAUCACCUGAGGCAACACAGGUGCCUCCUGCUUUAAGAGGGAUGUCUCAAAGGUGUCAGAUAUCAAGAGCUCCAACGCUGAGGAAAUUCUCUCUGAUUCUGUUGUCUGAUGAGAUGGGGUUUUCGUACUGUGACUCAGGAGCAAUGCAAGCAAUGUGACAACUACAGGAAAACACCUCUUACUAUCAGCUCUAGCUAUCCUUCUGAAUUUGUGUUGGAGUUCCUUGUGAAUAUCAAGACCUCAGAGUUUAAGAAAAGACUAUAAAAGGGAGUUGACAUGGCUGAGAUUCUUCAACAUUGUGGGAAAGCACCCUUAAUGAACAAAAUCCACUCAAUCCCAUUACCUGUGGCAGUCCCCUGCUGUUUGAUCCACUUUGACAGCCUGAUCCUGAGCAGAGGAGGAUUUUUCUCAGUAUCUUCAUUCUGAAACUUGGUCUGGGAAUUGAGGCAGCAGUUUAAAUCAUGGUACAAGUACUUCCAGCUUGUGGCUGGUUUUGUAGGCUGACAUUCCCUAUUUUAUGACCCCUGGAAGUAUGAUCCCUGUUGAUUGCCCACUACAAUUGCUAUGGCACAAUGUGCCACUGUGGCUUCUGCUCUCACCCCAUUUCUGCAGUAGAAUCUGAGUGUGAGCAAACAAAUCAGAUUGUAGAGUCAUGGGCAAAACAACUCCUUACUGUGGGAAAGGUGCUGUAGUCAUGGGAAUCCUUUCUCAUCCUGCAGUUUCCAGCCAUUCUGGAGUGCACUGAGAAGGGGAUUAGAAUAGGAUAAUUAGCUUGGUAGGGAGAUCAAGUCCAACCUCCCAGGUGAAGAAGGGCCAGCCUCAAGUAUCUAGGAUAUGGGGGAAAAUCAAUUUCCCAUUCCUGAGUUUGUGUGGGAAGCAUACAUAAACUUGGAUGUUUUGUUAGAACAAUGACAUCAGCUUUAUCCUGUUUUCCCCCUGCUGCAUUUCAUCUCCUGUUUAAACUCUGUUACUUUUCUUGACAAAGAACAUCAAAGAAGAUUUUUAAUUACAACUGUCCAGACUGCUGUAAUGUUUUCAUUUCUGCAGUCAUAGGAACUGUUAGUGAGAGGGACUAUUGGACUGGACUUUUAUGGACUUUUUUAAUGAUGUUCUCAAACUGCACUUAAGGAAGCAUCCAUUUUAAUUAUUAUGUAAAUAAUAAAAGAAUCAGCACCAAACAAAAGCGCUGACACGUAAUUACACAAAUAGCAGAACUCAUAGAAAUCUUUGAUGUCCUGUCAACUUUAACAACACCUCUUGGCAU